UGACCUGUAUAAUGAACCUAAUUAUGCCUAAUGAUUAGGAUGGCAUGAUCAAAAUGCAUCAAAUGCUCCUAACUAAACAUGUGUGAAUGGUGUUUGCAUGAAUGCAAAAUUUUAUUUUUCCAAGAAUGAUCCCGCUUAGGUUGUUAUUACUCGAAGUUUAUUAAGGCUUUGUGACUGGCGUGCUACAAUGCCUUCUUGCUUGACUGGCUUUUCUG
rnacentral:lncRNA from 1 species